rnacentral:rRNA from 1 species
UACGUAGGGUGCAAGCGUUGUCCGGAAUCAUUGGGCGUAAAGCGCACGUAGGCGGAUUGUUAAGUCAGGGGUGAAAUCCUGGAGCUCAACUCCAGAACUGCCUUUGAUACUGGCGAUCUCGAGUCCGGGAGAGGUGAGUGGAACUGCGAGUGUAGAGGUGAAAUUCGUAGAUAUUCGCAAGAACACCAGUGGCGAAGGCGGCUCACUGGCCCGGUACUGACGCUGAGGUGCGAAAGCGUGGGGAGCAAACAGG